GACGGUAUCUGAUGAAUAAGCCCCGGCUAACUCCGUGCCAGCACCCGCGGUAAUACGGAGGGUGCAAGCGUUGUCCGGAAUGAUUGGGCGUAAAGCGUCUGUAGGUGGUUUUUGAAGUCUACUGUCAAAUACCAGGGCUUAACCUUGAAAAGGCAGUGGAGUACUCAAAGGCUAGAGUUCGGUAGAGGCAGAGGGAAUUCCCAGUGGAGCGGUGAAAUGCAUAGAGAUUGGGAAGAACACCAGUGGCGAAGGCGCUCUGCUGGGCCAAGACUGACACUGAGAAACGACAGCUAAGGUAGCGAAUAGGAUUAGAUACCCUAGUAGUCUUAGCCGUAAACGAUGGAUACUAAGUGCUGCCAACAACAGUGCUGUAGCUAACGCGUUAAGUAUCCCGCCUGGGGAGUAUGCUCGCAAGAGUGAAACUC
rnacentral:rRNA from 1 species